rnacentral:rRNA from 3 species
AAAUUGAAGAGUUUGAUCAUGGCUCAGAUUGAACGCUGGCGGCAGGCCUAACACAUGCAAGUCGAACGGUAACAGGAAGCAGCUUGCUGCUUCGCUGACGAGUGGCGGACGGGUGAGUAAUGUCUGGGAAACUGCCUGAUGGAGGGGGAUAACUACUGGAAACGGUGGCUAAUACCGCAUAACGUCGCAAGACCAAAGAGGGGGACCUUCGGGCCUCUUGCCAUCAGAUGUGCCCAGAUGGGAUUAGCUAGUUGGUGAGGUAACGGCUCACCAA